rnacentral:rRNA from 1 species
AGCGUACACGGUGGAUGCCCUGGCAGUCAGAGGCGAUGAAGGACGUGCUAAUCUGCGAUAAGCGUCGGUAAGGUGAUAUGAACCGUUAUAACCGGCGAUUUCCGAAUGGGGAAACCCAGUGUGAUUCGUCACACUAUCAUUAACUGAAUCCAUAGGUUAAUGAGGCGAACCGGGGGAACUGAAACAUCUAAGUACCCCGAGGAAAAGAAAUCAACCGAGAUUCCCCCAGUAGCGGCGAGCGAACGGGGAGCAGCCCAGAGCCUGAAUCAGUGUGUGUGUUAGUGGAAGCGUCUGGAAAGGCGCGCGAUACAGGGUGACAGCCCCGUACACAAAAAUGCACAUACUGUGAGCUCGAUGAGUAGGGCGGGACACGUGGUAUCCUGUCUGAAUAUGGGGGGACCAUCCUCCAAGGCUAAAUACUCCUGACUGACCGAUAGUGAACCAGUACCGUGAGGGAAAGGCGAAAAGAACCCCGGCGAGGGGAGUGAAAAAGAACCUGAAACCGUGUACGUACAAGCAGUGGGAGCCUCUUUUAUGGGGUGACUGCGUACCUUUUGUAUAAUGGGUCAGCGACUUAUAUUCUGUAGCAAGGUUAACCGAAUAGGGGAGCCGAAGGGAAACCGAGUCUUAACCGGGCGUUAAGUUGCAGGGUAUAGACCCGAAACCCGGUGAUCUAGCCAUGGGCAGGUUGAAGGUUGGGUAACACUAACUGGAGGACCGAACCGACUAAUGUUGAAAAAUUAGCGGAUGACUUGUGGCUGGGGGUGAAAGGCCAAUCAAACCGGGAGAUAGCUGGUUCUCCCCGAAAGCUAUUUAGGUAGCGCCUCGUGAAUUCAUCUCCGGGGGUAGAGCACUGUUUCGGCAAGGGGGUCAUCCCGACUUACCAACCCGAUGCAAACUGCGAAUACCGGAGAAUGUUAUCACGGGAGACACACGGCGGGUGCUAACGUCCGUCGUGAAGAGGGAAACAACCCAGACCGCCAGCUAAGGUCCCAAAGUCAUGGUUAAGUGGGAAACGAUGUGGGAAGGCCCAGACAGCCAGGAUGUUGGCUUAGAAGCAGCCAUCAUUUAAAGAAAGCGUAAUAGCUCACUGGUCGAGUCGGCCUGCGCGGAAGAUGUAACGGGGCUAAACCAUGCACCGAAGCUGCGGCAGCGACACUGUGUGUUGUUGGGUAGGGGAGCGUUCUGUAAGCCUGUGAAGGUGUACUGUGAGGUAUGCUGGAGGUAUCAGAAGUGCGAAUGCUGACAUAAGUAACGAUAAAGCGGGUGAAAAGCCCGCUCGCCGGAAGACCAAGGGUUCCUGUCCAACGUUAAUCGGGGCAGGGUGAGUCGACCCCUAAGGCGAGGCCGAAAGGCGUAGUCGAUGGGAAACAGGUUAAUAUUCCUGUACUUGGUGUUACUGCGAAGGGGGGACGGAGAAGGCUAUGUUGGCCGGGCGACGGUUGUCCCGGUUUAAGCGUGUAGGCUGGUUUUCCAGGCAAAUCCGGAAAAUCAAGGCUGAGGCGUGAUGACGAGGCACUACGGUGCUGAAGCAACAAAUGCCCUGCUUCCAGGAAAAGCCUCUAAGCAUCAGGUAACAUCAAAUCGUACCCCAAACCGACACAGGUGGUCAGGUAGAGAAUACCAAGGCGCUUGAGAGAACUCGGGUGAAGGAACUAGGCAAAAUGGUGCCGUAACUUCGGGAGAAGGCACGCUGAUAUGUAGGUGAAGUCCCUCGCGGAUGGAGCUGAAAUCAGUCGAAGAUACCAGCUGGCUGCAACUGUUUAUUAAAAACACAGCACUGUGCAAACACGAAAGUGGACGUAUACGGUGUGACGCCUGCCCGGUGCCGGAAGGUUAAUUGAUGGGGUCAGCGCAAGCGAAGCUCUUGAUCGAAGCCCCGGUAAACGGCGGCCGUAACUAUAACGGUCCUAAGGUAGCGAAAUUCCUUGUCGGGUAAGUUCCGACCUGCACGAAUGGCGUAAUGAUGGCCAGGCUGUCUCCACCCGAGACUCAGUGAAAUUGAACUCGCUGUGAAGAUGCAGUGUACCCGCGGCAAGACGGAAAGACCCCGUGAACCUUUACUAUAGCUUGACACUGAACAUUGAGCCUUGAUGUGUAGGAUAGGUGGGAGGCUUUGAAGUGUGGACGCCAGUCUGCAUGGAGCCGACCUUGAAAUACCACCCUUUAAUGUUUGAUGUUCUAACGUGGACCCGUGAUCCGGGUUGCGGACAGUGUCUGGUGGGUAGUUUGACUGGGGCGGUCUCCUCCUAAAGAGUAACGGAGGAGCACGAAGGUUGGCUAAUCCUGGUCGGACAUCAGGAGGUUAGUGCAAUGGCAUAAGCCAGCUUGACUGCGAGCGUGACGGCGCGAGCAGGUGCGAAAGCAGGUCAUAGUGAUCCGGUGGUUCUGAAUGGAAGGGCCAUCGCUCAACGGAUAAAAGGUACUCCGGGGAUAACAGGCUGAUACCGCCCAAGAGUUCAUAUCGACGGCGGUGUUUGGCACCUCGAUGUCGGCUCAUCACAUCCUGGGGCUGAAGUAGGUCCCAAGGGUAUGGCUGUUCGCCAUUUAAAGUGGUACGCGAGCUGGGUUUAGAACGUCGUGAGACAGUUCGGUCCCUAUCUGCCGUGGGCGCUGGAGAACUGAGGGGGGCUGCUCCUAGUACGAGAGGACCGGAGUGGACGCAUCACUGGUGUUCGGGUUGUCAUGCCAAUGGCACUGCCCGGUAGCUAAAUGCGGAAGAGAUAAGUGCUGAAAGCAUCUAAGCACGAAACUUGCCCCGAGAUGAGUUCU